UGUCCAUGCCCUCCUUGGGCGUUUCCUCCCUAGACUUCGACCGUGUCGUGAAAGCGAUGCGGUCUUUUUUUCAACCGCG
rnacentral:sRNA from 1 species